rnacentral:rRNA from 1 species
UACGUAGGGUGCGAGCGUUACUCGGAAUUACUGGGCGUAAAGCGUGCGUAGGUGGUGAGUUAAGUCUGUCGUGAAAGCCCCGGGCUCAACCUGGGAAUGGCGAUGGAUACUGGCUCGCUAGAGUGUGGUAGGGGAGACUGGAAUUCCUGGUGUAGCGGUGAAAUGCGCAGAUAUCAGGAGGAACACCGGUGGCGAAGGCGGGUCUCUGGGCCGAUACUGACGCUGAGGAGCGAAAGCGUGGGGAGCAAACAGG